GACGAACGCUGGCGGCGUGCUUAACACAUGCAAGUCGAACGGUAAGGCCCUUCGGGGUACACGAGUGGCGAACGGGUGAGUAACACGUGGGUGAUCUGCCCUGCACUUCGGGAUAAGCCUGGGAAACUGGGUCUAAUACCGGAUAGGACCACUGCCUGCAUGGGUGGUGGUGGAAAGCUUUUGCGGUGUGGGAUGGGCCCGCGGCCUAUCAGCUUGUUGGUGGGGUGAUGGCCUACCAAGGCGACGACGAGUAGCCGGCCUGGGAGGGUGACCGGCAACACUGGGACUGAGAUACGGCCCAGACUCCUACGGGAGGCAGCAGUGGGAAAUAGUGCACAAUGGGCGCAAGCCUGAUGCAGCGACGCCGCGUGAGGGAUGACGGCCUUCGGGUUGUAAACCUCUUUCAGCGCCGACGAAGCGCAAGUGACGGUAGGUGCAGAAGAAGGACCGGCCAACUACGUGCCAGCCGCCGCGGUAA
rnacentral:rRNA from 1 species